UACGGAGGGUGCAAGCGUUAUCCGGAUUCACUGGGUUUAAAGCGCACGUAGGCGGGUAUUUAAGUCAGGGGUGAAAUCCCGGGGCUCAACCCCGGAACUGCCUUUGAUACUGGGUAUCUAGAGUAUGGUAGAGGUGAGUGGAAUUCCGAGUGUAGAGGUGAAAUUCGUAGAUAUUCGGAAGAACACCAGUGGCGAAGGCGGCUCACUGGACGACUGUUGACGCUGAGGUACGAAAGCGUGGGGAGCAAACAGG
rnacentral:rRNA from 1 species